CACUCCUACGGGAGGCAGCAGUGGGGAAUAUUGGACAAUGGGCGCAAGCCUGAUCCAGCCAUGCCGCGUGAGUGAUGAAGGCCCUAGGGUUGUAAAGCUCUUUCACCGGUGAAGAUAAUGACGGUAACCGGAGAAGAAGCCCCGGCUAACUUCGUGCCAGCAGCCGCGGUAAUACGAAGGGGGCUAGCGUUGUUCGGAUUUACUGGGCGUAAAGCGCACGUAGGCGGACUAUUAAGUCAGGGGUGAAAUCCCGGGGCUCAACCCCGGAACUGCCUUUGAUACUGGUAGUCUUGAGUUCGAGAGAGGUGAGUGGAAUUCCGAGUGUAGAGGUGAAAUUCGUAGAUAUUCGGAGGAACACCAGUGGCGAAGGCGGCUCACUGGCUCGAUACUGACGCUGAGGUGCGAAAGCGUGGGGAGCAAACAGGAUUAGAUACCCUUGUAGUCCCAUG
rnacentral:rRNA from 1 species